CCUACGGGAGGCAGCAGUGAGGAAUAUUGGUCAAUGGCCGCAGGGCUGAACCAGCCAAGUCGCGUGAGGGAUGACGGUCCUAUGGAUUGUAAACCUCUUUUGUCAGGGAGCAAAGGGCGCCACGUGUGGCGCUUUGCGAGUACCUGAAGAAAAAGCAUCGGCUAACUCCGUGCCAGCAGCCGCGGUAAUACGGAGGAUGCGAGCGUUAUCCGGAUUUAUUGGGUUUAAAGGGUGCGCAGGCGGAAUGUCAAGUCAGCGGUAAAAUUUCGGGGCUCAACCUCGGCGCUACCGCCAAAACUAGUAGACGAGAGUGCAGGAGGGGUAAGUGGAAUGCCGAGUGUAGCGGUGGAAUGCGUAGAUAUUAGGAGGAACAUCAGGGGCGAAGGCGACUUACUGGACUGUAACUGACACUGAGGCACGAAAGCGUGGGGAGCAAACAGGAUUAGAUACCCGGGUAGUC
rnacentral:rRNA from 1 species